AAGCCCGCUCGCCGGAAGACCAAGGGUUCCUGUCCAACGUUAAUCGGGGCAGGGUGAGUCGACCCCUAAGGCGAGGCCGAAAGGCGUAGUCGAUGGGAAACAGGUUAAUAUUCCUGUACUUGGUGUUACUGCGAAGGGGGGACGGAGAAGGCUAUGUUGGCCGGGCGACGGUUGUCCCGGUUUAAGCGUGUAGGCUGGUUUUCCAGGCAAAUCCGGAAAACCAAGGCUGAGGCGUGAUGACGAGGCACUACGGUGCUGAAGCGACAAAUGCCCUGCUUCCAGGAAAAGCCUCUAAGCAUCAGGUAACAUCAAAUCGUACCCCAAACCGACACAGGUGGUCAGGUAGAGAAUACCAAGGCGCUUGAGAGAACUCGGGUGAAGGAACUAGGCAAAAUGGUGCCGUAACUUCGGGAGAAGGCACGCUGAUAUGUAGGUGAAGCGACUUGCUCGUGGAGCUGAAAUCAGUCGAAGAUACCAGCUGGCUGCAACUGUUUAUUAAAAACACAGCACUGUGCAAACACGAAAGUGGACGUAUACGGUGUGACGCCUGCCCGGUGCCGGAAGGUUAAUUGAUGGGGUUAGCGGUAACGCGAAGCUCUUGAUCGAAGCCCCGGUAAACGGCGGCCGUAACUAUAACGGUCCUAAGGUAGCGAAAUUCCUUGUCGGGUAAGUUCCGACCUGCACGAAUGGCGUAAUGAUGGCCAGGCUGUCUCCACCCGAGACUCAGUGAAAUUGAACUCGCUGUGAAGAUGCAGUGUACCCGCGGCAAGACGGAAAGACCCCGUGAACCUUUACUAUAGCUUGACACUGAACAUUGAGCCUUGAUGUGUAGGAUAGGUGGGAGGCUUUGAAGUGUGGACGCCAGUCUGCAUGGAGCCGACCUUGAAAUACCACCCUUUAAUGUUUGAUGUUCUAACGUUGGCCCGUAAUCCGGGUUGCGGACAGUGUCUGGUGGGUAGUUUGACUGGGGCGGUCUCCUCCUAAAGAGUAACGGAGGAGCACGAAGGUUGGCUAAUCCUGGUCGGACAUCAGGAGGUUAGUGCAAUGGCAUAAGCCAGCUUGACUGCGAGCGUGACGGCGCGAGCAGGUGCGAAAGCAGGUCAUAGUGAUCCGGUGGUUCUGAAUGGAAGGGCCAUCGCUCAACGGAUAAAAGGUACUCCGGGGAUAACAGGCUGAUACCGCCCAAGAGUUCAUAUCGACGGCGGUGUUUGGCACCUCGAUGUCGGCUCAUCACAUCCUGGGGCUGAAGUAGGUCCCAAGGGUAUGGCUGUUCGCCAUUUAAAGUGGUACGCGAGCUGGGUUUAGAACGUCGUGAGACAGUUCGGUCCCUAUCUGCCGUGGGCGCUGGAGAACUGAGGGGGGCUGCUCCUAGUACGAGAGGACCGGAGUGGACGCAUCACUGGUGUUCGGGUUGUCAUGCCAAUGGCACUGCCCGGUAGCUAAAUGCGGAAGAGAUAAGUGCUGAAAGCAUCUAAGCACGAAACUUGC
rnacentral:rRNA from 1 species